AUUGAACGCUGGCGGCGUGCCUAACACAUGCAAGUCGAGCGGUAACAGGUGUAGCAAUACAUGCUGACGAGCGGCGGACGGGUGAGUAACGCCUUGGGAAUCUGCCUAUUAGUGGGGGACAACCCGGGGAAACUCGGGCUAAUACCGCAUACGCUCUACGGAGGAAAGCCGGGACCGCAAGGCCUGGCGCUAAUAGAUGAGCCCAAGUCGGAUUAGCUAGUUGGUAGGGUAAUGGCCUACCAAGGCGACGAUCCGUAACUGGUCUGAGAGGACGACCAGUCACACCGGAACUGAGACACGGUCCGGACUCCUACGGGAGGCAGCAGUGGGGAAUAUUGGACAAUGGGCGAAAGCCUGAUCCAGCGACGCCGCGUGGGUGAAGAAGGCC
rnacentral:rRNA from 1 species